GACGUAGGGGCCGAGCGUUGUCCGGAGUUACUGGGCGUAAAGGGCGCGCAGGCGGUUGGUCACAUCGGCGGUGAAAGCCCCCCGCUCAACUGGGGAGGGUCACGCGAUACUGAUCGACUCGAAGGCAGGAGAGGGUAGUGGAAUUCCCGGUGUAGUGGUGAAAUGCGUAGAUAUCGGGAGGAACACCAGUGGCGAAGGCGACUACCUGGCCUGUUCUUGACGCUGAGGCGCGAAAGCUAGGGGAGCAAACGGG
rnacentral:rRNA from 1 species